GGGGCGGUGGCGUAGUUGGGAGCGCGUCAGACUGAAGCUACAACUUCAAUCAACAUUCAUAUGAAUUAUCUGAAGGUCACCGGUUCGAUCCCGGUUCACCCCA
rfam:Nectria haematococca mpVI 77-13-4 chromosome 9 genomic scaffold NECHAsca_27_chr9_1_0, whole genome shotgun sequence.